AGUCGAGCGAACAGAUGAGGAGCUUGCUCCUUUGACGUUAGCGGCGGACGGGUGAGUAACACGUGGAUAACCUACCUAUAAGACUGGGAUAACUUCGGGAAACCGGAGCUAAUACCGGAUAAGAUUUUGAACCGCAUGGUUCAAUAGUGAAAGACGGCCUUGCUGUCACUUAUAGAUGGAUCCGCGCCGUAUUAGCUAGUUGGUAAGGUAACGGCUUACCAAGGCAACGAUACGUAGCCGACCUGAGAGGGUGAUCGGCCACACUGGAACUGAGACACGGUCCAGACUCCUACGGGAGGCAGCAGUAGGGAAUCUUCCGCAAUGGGCGAAAGCCUGACGGAGCAACGCCGCGUGAGUGAUGAAGGUCUUCGGAUCGUAAAACUCUGUUAUCAGGGAAGAACAAACGUGUAAGUAACUGUGCACGUCUUGACGGUACCUGAUCAGAAAGCCACGGCUAACUACGUGCCAGCAGCCGCGGUAAUACGUAGGUGGCAAGCGUUAUCCGGAAUUAUUGGGCGUAAAGCGCGCGUAGGCGGUUUUUUAAGUCUGAUGUGAAAGCCCACGGCUCAACCGUGGAGGGUCAUUGGAAACUGGAAAACUUGAGUGCAGAAGAGGAAAGUGGAAUUCCAUGUGUAGCGGUGAAAUGCGCAGAGAUAUGGAGGAACACCAGUGGCGAAGGCGACUUUCUGGUCUGUAACUGACGCUGAUGUGCGAAAGCGUGGGGAUCAAACAGGAUUAGAUACCCUGGUAGUCCACGCCGUAAACGAUGAGUGCUAAGUG
rnacentral:rRNA from 1 species